rnacentral:rRNA from 1 species
UUGCAUAUUCCCAAAGCGGAGGAAAAGAAACCAACAGGGAUUGCCUCAGUAACGGCGAGUGAAGCGGCAACAGCUCAAAUUUGAAAUCUGGCCUCCCGGGGUCCGAGUUGUAAUUUGUAGAGGAUGUUUUGGGUACCGCCCCGGUUUAAAUUUCUUGGAACAGAAUGUCAGAGAGGGUGAGAAUCCCGUCUUGGACCGGUGGUAGGGCCUGUGUAAAACUCCUUCGACGAGUCGAGUUGUUUGGGAAUGCAGCUCAAAAUGGGUGGUAAAUUUCAUCUAAAGCUAAAUAUUGGCCAGAGACCGAUAGCGCACAAGUAGAGUGAUCGAAAGAUGAAAAGAACUUUGAAAAGAGAGUUAAACAGUAUGUGAAAUUGUUGAAAGGGAAGCGCUUGCAACCAGACUUGAGCGCGACGGUUCCCCUAGCCUUUUGGCUAGGUUACUCCGUCGUGUCCAGGCCAACAUCGGUUCUGAGGGUCGGUCAAAGGCUCUGGGAAUGUAUCUACCCACGGGUAGACUUAUAGACCAGGGUGUCAUGCGACCUCUCGGGACCGAGGAACGCGCUUCGGCUCGGAUGUUGGCGUAAUGGUUGUCAGCGACCCGUCUUGAACACACGGGACCA